rnacentral:lncRNA from 1 species
AUGAGUGGUUACAGAACUCGAACUGCUGUGCCAAUUUCUCUUCCUUUGAUUAAUAAACCAAUUGUUAAUUUGCUUGAGUUGUAGCCCCGUUUCUUCCACCAGUUUCGCCUUGUCAUCUUCCUUUGGAUAGGGCCAUUUGGAAUGUUGUUGCCACCAAUCUUUGAGCACAGAAGUAGUGUCUCCUGGUAAUUUUCCUGCUCUCCUCUUUCUCAGUAUUUCCUCUCUUACAUCCUCUAUUUUGGAUCUAA